GGCGGCAUGCCUUACACAUGCAAGUCGAACGGUAACAGGUUAAGCUGACGAGUGGCGAACGGGUGAGUAAUAUAUCGGAACGUGCCCAGUAGUGGGGGAUAGCCCGGCGAAAGCCGGAUUAAUACCGCAUACGACCUACGGGUGAAAGGGGGGGAUCGCAAGACCUCUCGCUAUUGGAGCGGCCGAUAUCAGAUUAGCUAGUUGGUGGGGUAAAAGCUCACCAAGGCGACGAUCUGUAGCUGGUCUGAGAGGACGACCAGCCACACUGGGACUGAGACACGGCCCAGACUCCUACGGGAGGCAGCAGUGGGGAAUUUUGGACAAUGGACGCAGGUCUGAUCCAGCCAUGCCGCGUGCGGGAAGAANGCCUUCGGGUUGUNAACCGCUUUUGUCNGGGAAGAAAAGCUCCGAACUAAUAAUUUGGGGUGAUGACGGUACCUGAAGAAUAAGCACCGGCUAACUACGU
rnacentral:rRNA from 1 species